CGGGGGGGGCAAGCGUUGUUCGGAAUUACUGGGCGUAAAGGGCUCGUAGGCGGCCAACUAAGUCAGACGUGAAAUCCCCAGGCUCAACCUGGGAACUGCGUCUGAUACUGGAUGGCUUGAAUCCGGGAGAGGGAUGCAGAAUUCCAGGUGUAGCGGUGAAAUGCGUAGAUAUCUGGAGGAAUACCGGUGGCGAAGGCGGCAUCCUGGACCGGCAUUGACGCUGAGGAGCGAAAGCUAGGGGAGCAAACGGGAUUAGAUACCCCGGUAGUCCUAGCCCUAAACGAUGAAUGCUUGGUGUAACGGGUAUCGAUCCCUGUUGUGCCGAAGCUAACGCAUUAAGCAUUCCGCCUGGGGAGUACGGUCGCAAGGCUG
rnacentral:rRNA from 1 species